GAGGCAGUCCAGCCGCAGGGGCCACCCGAACAGUCUCUCCUCCUCACAGAAGCCUGGAGCUGGGCAUCCAAGAAGAAGCAGCCUCAUUUGUUUUCUGGUGUCAUCGUAGGUGGCCACCUAUGGCUUUUGGGAAUGUAAAAAGGGCAGCUCUCUGGCAUGUUCCUGACUGAGGAUCUCAUAACAUUUAACUUGAGGAACUUCCUCCUUUUCCAGCUUUGGGAGUCAAGCUUCUCACCUGGGGCGGGUGGGUUCUGCACCACCCUCCCACCCUCCUUCCUCCGUGUGGACGAUAGAGCCACAUCCAGCACCACGGACAGCUCCCGGGCGCCUUCAUCUCCUCGUCCUCCAGGCAGCACAAGCCAUUGUGGAAUCUCCACCAGGUGUACAGAACGGUGCCUCUGCGUCCUGCCACUCAGGACCUCUCAAGUCCCCGAUGUGAUGGCUCCUCAGCAUGAUCAGGAGAAAUUCCAUGAUCUUGCUUAUUCCUGUCUUGGGAAGUCCUUCUCCAUGUCUAACCAAGAUCUAUAUGGCUAUAGCACCAGCUCUUUGGCUCUUGGCUUGGCAUGGCUAAGUUGGGAGACCAAAAAGAAGAAUGUACUUCAUCUGGUUGGGCUGGAUUCCCUCUGAUAAGCCUUCCCAGUUGACUGAAAGAUGAGGCUAGGCUCUAGCAAGUUGAAGUCAAACCAGCUCCUUCAAGAAGCUUUGAGCAGAAUGAAGUGGGGAGGACCCAGCUUCCAGCCCAGGAAGCCCACUGUACCUGGAGCCAUCUGGGAUAAGACUUUGACCCAUGACUCCCAUAUCCACAGCCUGUCCAUCCUAGCCCAUCCCAGUUUAUCCUGUAUCAUUUGAGCUGGGAUUCCCACAUCCUCUGAGUUGGAAGUCCCAUCUCAAGUCUUCAAUAAAGACUCUUGAAUAUUGAAUCACA
rnacentral:lncRNA from 1 species